UACGGAGGGUGCAAACGUUGCUCGGAAUCAUUGGGCGUAAAGCGCACGUAGGCGGCGAAGCAAGUUGGGUGUGAAAGCCCUGGGCUCAACCCAGGAAGUGCAUUCAAAACUGCUUCGCUUGAAUCUCGGAGGGGGUCAGAGAAUUCCCGGUGUAGAGGUGAAAUUCGUAGAUAUCGGGAGGAAUACCAGUGGCGAAGGCGCUGACCUGGACGAAGAUUGACGCUGAGGUGCGAAAGCGUGGGGAGCGAACAGG
rnacentral:rRNA from 1 species